rnacentral:rRNA from 1 species
UACAGAGGGGGCAAGCGUUAUUCGGAAUUAUUGGGCGUAAAGCGCACGUAGUCGGCUUUGCAAGUCGGGUGUGAAAUCCCCGGGCUCAACCUGGGAACUGCAUCCGAGACUGCAUUGCUAGAGUAUGGGAGAGGGAAGCGGAAUUUCUGGUGUAGCAGUGAAAUGCGUAGAUAUCAGAAGGAACAUCAGUGGCGAAGGCGGCUUCCUGGACCAAUACUGACGAUCAGGUGCGAAAGCGUGGGGAGCAAACAGG